GCCUAAGUGGCUCAGUUGGUUGAGCGUCUGACUUCGGCUCAGGUCAUGAUCUUACAGUUUGUGGGUUCAAGCCCUGCAUCAGGCU
rnacentral:tRNA from 1 species